UUGUUACUCCCUCCGUCCGGAAAUACUUUUCCUAGGAAUGGAUGAAUCUAGAAUUAUUUUAGUUAUAGAUACAUCCAAUAUAUCCAUUUUUAGGACAAGUAUUUCCGGACAGAGGGAGUAUGAG
rnacentral:pre_miRNA from 1 species